AUUCCAAUAUUUCCAAUUAUGACCCAUAUAUUAUUAUCCCAUUUUGGAAUUGUCAAGCAACCUUUUAUUUGCCUUUGGGGAAUUAUUAGACUCCAUGCACCACUGGCAUUCCUAUAGGUUGCUCAUCCAAAAUGGAGUGGGAGAAGCUCAAAGGAAAAGUAUACAGUGUGUUGUGAUAAUGUAGAGGGUGCCAGACAGACACACGGUGAUCAUGUGAGGUCUAUAAACCAGCCUUUCUCUACACUGUCUACAUUUUUUCCUCUUGGUCAGAAAAAUUUCUGUCAUGGUGUUUGUUUCAAUUCCUAUUCUGAUGGCACACAAAUUCAUCGCAUUAUCAAACCCUCCAACCCACUUCCUCCACAAUCACUUGUCAACUGAGUGUAUAAAUGUUUUUAAAAAGGAAUUCAUGUAACCUAAUUAAACUCAACAGUAAUAUAACAGCUCUUGGUUUUGGCCCUCAAGGCUCUGCUCCAGAAGGUUUGAGUUCUACUGAUUGACACAUGUGCCUGCCCCAUCUCACCAUCCUCAGAAGGUUGCAACCUGGGUGUCAUUUUGGAUUUCCCACUUACAUUCCAGGCUCAUAUGAAAUCUGUUACAAAAGCAGCUUCUUUUUUUUUUUACGCCUAAUGAACAUCUCCCUACUUUGGCCACUCAAUGACUUUUGCAAAGAUCCUCAUCAAUGGCUUUCUCACUGCCUGGCUGAAUUUCUAGAGGUAUUUCUUGGGUCCUGUUCAGGAUGUCCAACAAAAUCCUGGACUAACCCAAGUUUGCAGGCUCAAGAAAUGGUGCUGGUUUCUAUAAUUACAAAGAGGUCCUAAUGUACACAGGUCAAGCUUAGGAUGGAGAUUGAGUUCAGGAGACCCCCCACCCCCCCCACAAAAAAAAAAGCAAGAGGAUGCUAUCCUAAAUAUAGCCAUUUGUGGAGCAACAGUGGGUAAAACUGUAAAUGUGCAGAUGCUGUAUCUUUUCUCUGACUGUGUAGCAUGGGAGAAAUAAGACCCACGCAUUAAUAAAUAUCUGAAGUCAACAUGAAA